rnacentral:rRNA from 1 species
UAUGGCGACCGGCGCACGGGUGAGUAACACGUAUCCAACCUGCCGAUGACUCGGGGAUAGCCUUUCGAAAGAAAGAUUAAUACCCGAUGGCAUAGUUCUUCCGCAUGGUAGAACUAUUAAAGAAUUUCGGUCAUCGAUGGGGAUGCGUUCCAUUAGGCAGUUGGCGGGGUAACGGCCCACCAAACCGACGAUGGAUAGGGGUUCUGAGAGGAAGGCCCCCCACAUUGGUACUGAGACACGGACCAA